rnacentral:tRNA from 1 species
GAGGGUAUAGCUCAGUGGUAGAGCACAUGUUUAGCAUGCAUGAGGUCCUGGGUUCAAGCCCCAGUACCUCCA